rnacentral:sRNA from 1 species
AGUAUCAGGCUACCCAGUCCUGAAGAUUCAGUUUUCACUUAAACAACCAGCAAGUCUUGAAGUCUCUUCCCAAGCAAAUGGGAGCUUCUUUGGACCUUGGAGCACACAGAGGAUUCUACUUUCUUUAAAACUUUGUUUUCAGGCAAUUUCCCUGAGAACCGUUUACUUCCAGAAGAUUGGUGGAGCUUGAUCUGAAGGCUGGCCAUGAAAUCUCAAGGUCAACAUUGGUGUUCCAGUUCAGAUAAAAACUGUAAAGUGAGCUUUCGUGAGAAGCUUCUGAUUAUUGAUUCAAACCUGGGGGUCCAAGAUGUGGAGAACCUCAAGUUUCUCUGCAUAGGAUUGGUCCCCAACAAGAAGCUGGAGAAGUCCAGCUCAGCCUCGGAUGUUUUUGAACAUCUCUUGGCAGAGGAUCUGCUGAGUGAGGACGACCCUUUCUUCCUGGCAGAACUCCUCUAUAUCAUACGGCAGAAGAAGCUGCUGCAGCACCUCAACUAUACCAAAGAGGAAGUGGAGCGACUGCUGCCCACCCGACAACGGGUUUCUCUGUUUAGAAACCUGCUCUACGAACUGUCAGAAGGCAUUGACUCAGAGAACUUAAAGGACAUGAUCUUCCUUCUGAAAGACUCGCUUCCCAAAACUGAAAUGACCUCCCUAAGUUUCCUGGCAUUUCUAGAGAAACAAGGUAAAAUAGAUGAAGAUAAUCUGACAUGCCUGGAGGACCUCUGCACAACAGUUGUACCUAAACUUUUGAGAAACAUAGAGAAAUACAAAAGAGAGAAAGCUGUCCAGAUAGUGACACCUCCUGUAGACAAGGAAGCCGAGUCGUAUCAAGGAGAGGAAGAACUAGUUUCCCAAACAGACGUUAAGACAUUCUUGGAAGCCUUACCGCAGGAGUCCUGGCAAAAUAAGCAUGCAGGUAGUAAUGGUAACAGAGCCACAAAUGGUGCACCAAGCCUGGUCUCCAGGGGGAUGCAAGGAGCAUCUGCUAACACUCUAAACUCUGAAACCAGCACAAAGGUCUGGAUGGUUUCUUUUUUUCCUUUUUUAAUACAAAUUUUUUUUUUCCAAAUUUAAUCAAAAGGAUGGUUUCUUUAGGGGCUCUCUCCCUAGGGUCCGGCCUUCGAUGAUUUUAAGGGCUCCGAGCUGUUUGUUUCCGACUUGUUUCUCCCUCUCUCUGUAAUUAUCUCUGUUCCUCCCACCUUUUUCUGUAUCAAUCAGAAGUGAUUGAUCCCUUUGACUGUGGAGGAAAUGCUGUUGCACUUUGAGUCAUGCAUACCCUUUGGGUUAUUUCUGG